rnacentral:rRNA from 1 species
UACGUAGGGUGCAAGCGUUGUCCGGAAUUAUUGGGCGUAAAGAGCUCGUAGGCGGUCUGUUACGUCGGCUGUGAAAACCUGGGGCUCAACUCCGGGCCUGCAGCCGAUACGGGCAGACUAGAGUUCGGCAGGGGAGACUGGAAUUCCUGGUGUAGCGGUGAAAUGCGCAGAUAUCAGGAGGAACACCGGUGGCGAAGGCGGUUCUCUGGGCAUUACCUGACGCUGAGGAGCGAAAGUGUGGGGAGCGAACAGG